AACGAACGCUGGCGGCAUGCCUAACACAUGCAAGUCGAGCGCCCGUAGCAAUACGGGAGCGGCGCACGGGUGAGUAACGCGUGGGAACCUGCCCAGAGGUCUGGGACAACCGCGGGAAACUGCGGCUGAUACCGGAUGAUUCCUGAGGGACAAAGAUUUAUCGCCUUUGGAGGGGCCCGCGUCGGAUUAGGUAGUUGGUGGGGUAACGGCUCACCAAGCCUAUGAUCCGUAACUGGUCUGAGAGGAUGACCAGUCACACUGGGACUGAGACACGGCCCAGACUCCUACGGGAGGCAGCAGUGGGGAGUAUUGGACAAUGGGGGCAACCCUGAUCCAGCAAUGCCGCGUGGGUG
rnacentral:rRNA from 1 species